UUCCGGUAGAGUGAGGACCAGAGAGGUGUAGGAUUUAGAAUUUAGAUCUAAACUCUAUUUAUCUUUUCUUCUAAUUUCUAUAGAGAAUGGUUAAAAUAAGAUCGAAAAGCAAGAGGCAAUCAACCAAGCACCGUGUUAAAGUGGAGAGAAAGGUAUGUGAUAAA
rnacentral:sRNA from 1 species